UGACGACGCAACGCCGCGUGGAGGAUGAAGGUCUUCGGAUUGUAAACUCCUGUUGCCCGGGACGAAACGCUCCGACCUAACACGUCGGAGUCUGACGGUACCGGGUGAGGAAGCCCCGGCUAACUCUGUGCCAGCAGCCGCGGUAAUACAGAGGGGGCUAGCGUUGUUCGGAAUUACUGGGCGUAAAGGGCGCGUAGGUGGCCUGUUAAGUCGAACGUGAAAUCCCCGGGCUCAACCCGGGAACUGCGUCCGAGACUGGCAGGCUCGAAUCCGGGAGAGGGAUGUGGAAUUCCAGGUGUAGCGGUGAAAUUGCGUAGAUAUCUGGAGGAACACCGGUGGCGAAGGCGGCAUCCUGGACCGGUAUUGACGCUGAGGCGCGAAAGCCAGGGGAGCAAACGGGAUUAGAUACCCCGGUAGUCCUGGCCCUAAACGAUGAAUGCUUGGUGUGGCGGGUAUCGAUCCCUGCCGUGCCGAAGCUAACGCAUUAAGCAUUCCGCCUGGGGAGUACGGUCGCAAGGCUG
rnacentral:rRNA from 1 species